CCGGUCCCCCACAGGCUCGUAGCAGGGUUCCUCUUGAGAACGGGCCUGCCCUUGGACGCCUCGGCCCCGGCCUCGGUUUCCCCUGUCCCCUCCGAAGGAGCGCGGAAGGGUUUUUGCUCCGUUGUGCUCCAUGGGAGGUUUUUUUUUCUGGGUUUUGCACACGAUGGAGCAGAGCUGAAGUGGAGCACGCACACACCCUGCCCCCACAAUUUUCUGGUGUGACCUUUUUGGAUAAACAAAGACCCCGGCAUAAGCUGUAAGUGUGUGCAGACAACGUGCUGUGUGUGUGCAAGUGCAUGUAUUUAUGUGGACACAGAGUGUGCAACUCUGCACAGAGGAAGGAAGGAAGUCACAAGAUGAUGGGGAUUUCAAAACUGAGCUACAGCUGCUUCCAGCUCUGAGCAAGACUUCGAUAAGCAACGCUUUCUGCAUACAGCGGCUAUCUGCGCCACUCACGCAUCUGGUCGUGGCCGUGAUUCUAUGAGUUGCAAGGACUGCAGAGUUUUCAAAAGGAUCUUGCGGCAGCAGAUAUUCAUCUGCUGGGACACGCUUGAUGCAACGUGACUGGUUGGGGAGGGCAGGGCCUCCUAAUAGCCACAAAGGGAGUGGAGCAGAAGGAGUGAGCACCAAGGAGAGGAGGAGACUUGGUUGGGAGUGGAAACUCAACACCUUUUGAUGGCUGCAACUGACAAACUCCAGAGGAUAGGGGCAUGUUAGGGCAACAACAAGAUCUGACGCGAGAAAACAAAACAACGAGUGGGAAAAACAUUAAUACAGAGAGAAAGAAGUAAAAAAAAUAAAUAAAAAAUUGUGAGAUACUGCAAAACGCUGUCAAGGCCAGUUACUCCGUGGUGCAUUUUGACAUGCAGAAGAGCUCCAGGCAGGAAAGCGUAGAGAAUUAACCCUUUAAUUUCUACAUAAAUCAUCUUUUUUUUUUCUUUUUCCUUUUUGCAAAACUCUUCAAUGGCUUUGAUAAGCUCAUCAACACUAUAAUACCAUUUAUAACUACUGCUUUGUUAUAACAUGCCUUUUUAAUCUUAAAGUGUUUAAAAUGUUUAGUGUUUAAACUGAGACUGGGACUCAUGGAGAACUGUGGUGAUGAAGUAAAAAUAAACACUUGUCUAUUUUAGGGACCGCUGUACUAUUUAGACUGACUGUCUCUGACCUGUAGGCAGACUGUUUACAGCUCACUGACUCAAAGAUAUAUAGUGCCAUGGAAAAGUAAUCACACUUCUUUAUAAUUUUUAAUAUUUUGUCAAUUUACAACCCAAAACGUUCAUGUAAUUUCAAAAGGAUUCCACACAAAAGGCACAGAUAGACUACAACACAAUUGUUAAGUGGAAAAAAAAUCUCAAAUGUGAAAAGCGGGGUUUAUUUCUUCCAUUUUUGCACAUCUAGAUCUGAAACUUUAGUCCAGUACAUCUUUACAAACUAGUACAAUGUUAGUCAGAUUAAAUCCAGAGUGACUGUGAACAUCAGUUUUCAAGAUUCCCAACUGGAUUUAGGUCAUGUGUUAGGCCAGGAGUCUGGAACCUUUGGCCCCAGUAUUAUCCAUAAACGGAUAAUAGAUAAUGCCCCAUUUUAAUAUGCCUUUUAAUAUAUAUGUGUGUGUGUGGGUGUGUGUGCAUGCGUGUGUGCAUGCAUGUGCGUUUUCUGUCUUACUUUCUUGUAAAACCUAAAAGUACAAAUAAAUAAUUUUAAAAAAAUCCUUUCACCAUAGCUCAAAAUAAUAAUCCUAAAUUUGAAGUUGUCCUUUUUAACGUGUCAUGAUCUUGGGUUGUUUUGUUACAUGUGUUUCACCUUAGUUAUUUUUUGCUUAGAGUAGAUCAUACAUUUAUAUUUUAUAUUCUUGUUCAGUUUGUCCUUAGUAAUUUAGUUAGAUCACGUUUAUUAUUCAUUUAUUGUGUUUAGUCUGUCUUUGUUGCUCCCCUGUGCCAUUCCUCACUCUCAGCUUGCAGCUGUGCUCUUUCCUCACAGCUGCAUUGAAUUUGAAAUUAGUCUUGCGCCACUAUUCCAGCAAUCAACCACCUCAAGUAAUUAACCACCUCUCUUUUACUUUUCCUCGCUGGUUCCUUCUGUUUGCCUCAUGUUUUCUGGACUCUGUUUACCCUCUGCUUUUGUAAGUUGUUCUAUGAGUUCUUUAGUAUAACUUAUUUCAUCAUUUACCCCAGGAUUCCGGUUCCCAUUUGAUCCAACUUCAUACACAUAAAACAUUGACACAUUUAUUUAAUAUUUUUGGCUCUAAACAAGUUUGAAUUUAGUAGAAUUGGGGGCAAAAAUGCCUGUUUGGAUUGUUACGUUUGCAGACCCUGUGUAAGGCUUUUCCAACACAAAAAUAUGCAAAUAAUUGUCCUAUUCACAGAUUCUCUCAUUUAGGCUGUGUAUCUUUGCAGCUCCUCUAGAGUUAUCAUGGUCUAUUAACUACUAAUGUAAGACUGGUUUAAACUGCUGCACAACUGUAUUAUAAUACUGAUUGCUUGGUAAGAAACCCUCCCAGGAGUUUGCACAAAAGCUGCUCUCAAACUAAGACUUCACGUAAAUUAAGUUUCAGUUUGAAUUUUCUAUUCUAAUUGCAUAGUUUGUCUGAAACAUAAACAGAUGCGUGCAUAUAUUUACAUAUACACAGACACAGUAUAUAAACAGAUGCCCUAUUUAAACAUAACGGUAUCUAUUCUGAGCUAUGAUUAAUACUGGACAGCAGGUGACAGCCAGCCGUGGUCUGUGCAGAUAAAUGCUGAAGGCCAACAGAUGAAUGGGGGGGUUGGGCGAAUGAGGUCAAGGUUCAGGCAGGCGGUGGGGGUUGUGGAUCCAUGUAACAUAACCUCUUUCUGUAAGCAGAAACCACGUACGGCAGGAAGGUCGUGAGGCAGCUGUGUUACGGCGACGUACCCAAUCAAAAGGGUGCCGGCGUCGGUAAACACAGCAGAAAUCAGAGACUGAAUCUCCUGCCUGCUUGGAGAGUUCACGGCCAGCCUCACAUUGAUUCUUUCUUCUCCCAGCUGUCACUAAAAUCACAUGUAUCCAUUCACAAAUACACAUGCUGUAGAU